rnacentral:rRNA from 1 species
UACAGAGGGUGCGAGCGUUAAUCGGAAUUACUGGGCGUAAAGCGCACGUAGUCGGCUUUGCAAGUCGGGUGUGAAAUCCCCCGGGCUCAACCUGGGAACUGCAUCCGAGACUGCAUUGCUAGAGUAUGGGAGAGGGAAGCGGAAUUUCUGGUGUAGCAGUGAAAUGCGUAGAUAUCAGAAGGAACAUCAGUGGCGAAGGCGGCUUCCUGGACCAAUACUGACGAUCAGGUGCGAAAGCGUGGGGAGCGAACAGG